UUGACCUCAAAUCAGGUAGGACUACCCGCUGAACUUAAGCAUAUCAAUAAGCGGAGGAAAAGAAACUAACAAGGAUUCCCCUAGUAACUGCGAGUGAAGCGGGAAAAGCUCAAAUUUGAAAUCUGGCGGUUCUUGGACCYGUCCGAGUUGUAAUCUAGAGAAGUGUUACCUGUGCUGGACCGUGUACAAGUCUCCUGGAAUGGAGCAUCACAGAGGGUGAGAAUCCCGUCUUUGACACGGACUACCUGUACGAUAUGGUGCGCUCUCGAAGAGUCGAGUUGUUUGGGAAUGCAGCUCAAAAUGGGUGGUAAAUGCCAUCUAAAGCUAAAUAUUGGCGAGAGACCGAUAGCGAACAAGUACCGUGAGGGAAAGAUGAAAAGAACUUUGGAAAGAGAGUUAAACAGUACGUGAAAUUGCUGAAAGGGAAACGCUUGAAGUCAGUCACGUCGGCUGGGAAUCAGCCUUGCUUUUGCUUGGUGUACUUUCUGGUUGYCGGGUCAGCAUCAAUUUUGACCAUCGGAUAAGGUCAUUGGGAAUGUGGCAUCUUAGGAUGUGUUAUAGCCCGUUGUCGCAUACGGUGGUCGGGAUUGAGGAACUCAGCACGCCGCGAGGCCGGGUCUUUUGACCACGUUCGUGCUUAGGAUGCUGGCAUAAUGGCUUUAAUCGACCCGUC
rnacentral:rRNA from 1 species